CACGACUUUUGACACUGCUUUUUAGUCUUCACUGAUCAGUUCAUUGAGUCAUUCAUUGGAAAUGACAAUAAAUAUUUACUACCCAACCCCCUGAGUUCUUUUGUUUCCCUUUUACUCAUUCAAACUGUUUACCAACCCAUUUUUCUUCGCGGUUCCAGACUAACUAUACGUCGUUACAAAUUUAGCCGAAAGCUUGAACCAACCAAAAUCGAUCAAUUAGUCAUUCGACAACAAACUGAUUGACGGAUCAGAAGGCAAUUAAAAGCUAUAACCAACCUAAAAUCUGAC